rnacentral:misc_RNA from 1 species
UGAAACGAAAAAACCACCCGGCAAGGUGGUUUUUCGAAGGUUCAGCAAACCGGCAAGUUUCUGAACCGUGGUAACAGUCUUGUGCGAGACGUGUCACCAAAUACUGUCCUUCCAGUGUAGCCGCAGUCAGGCAACCACAUCAAGAAUCUUUUAACUGAGAUUCUGUCGAUACUACCUCGCACAUUUCUGUUUACCGUAUUGGCUGUUGCCAUUAGCGGCACUUUGCCGUGUCUGUUGGGGUUGGAAUCGUGAGAAUAGUUACCCAGCAGGUGCAACGGUCGGACUGAACGGGGGGUUCGUGCAUACAGUCCAGCUUGGAGCGAACUGCCUACCCGGAACUGAGUGUCAGGCGUGGAAUGAGAUAAACGCGGCCAUAACAGCGGAAUGACACCGGUAAACCGAAAGGCAGGAACAGGAGAGCGCACGAGGGAGCCAUCAGGGGGAAACGCCUGGUAUCUUUAUAGUCCUGUCGGGUUUCGCCACCACUGAUUUGAGCGUCAGAUUUCGUGAUGCUUGUCAGGGGGGCGGAGCCUAUGGAA